CGAAUGAGGAGAUUCAUCGUCAGCUUAUUCAGUAUUAAUGCAGGCUAUGAUGUGAUAAUAGAAUCCUUGUGGUCACUAGAUUAUACUUGCUUGUAUUAUUUUUGCUGGGUAUGUCGGCGUGCACUUCUCCUCUAGUAGAACGUCGCAACCCGUUGGAUGUUUAUCUAUGGCUUGAAUGGUAGCCUUUGAUAUUUUUUAUAUURAAGACCUUCGAUGUCCUGAUAAACUGUUUGACGGUAUACAUAUGGUAUUGAGCCGCAAUUAUUUGCGUUAGACUUGCCGCAAGUAUGACUUUAUUCUAGUAGUGCGGAUCUAAUGCCGUCGCUGGACAAAGUCUGCUGUUAGCUGUGUAAUGUCUUUAACUGGCUUAUUUACCGGUUAGCGAUG
rnacentral:rRNA from 2 species